GACAGAGGGUGCAAACGUUUGUUCGGAAUUACUGGGCGUAAAGCGCGCGUAGGCGGCUUUUCAAGUCGAUUGUGAAAUCCCCGGGCUUAACCUGGGAACUGCAGUCGAGACUGUCUAGCUAGAGUAUGGGAGAGGGAAGUGGAAUUUCAGGUGUAGCGGUGAAAUGCGUAGAUAUCUGAAGGAACAUCAGUGGCGAAAGCGACUUCCUGGACCAAUACUGACGCUCAUGUGCGAAAGCGUGGGGAGCAAACAGGG
rnacentral:rRNA from 1 species